rnacentral:rRNA from 1 species
UUACUAGUGUCAUACGAGACUGCCGGUAAAAGCCGGAGGAAGGUGAGGAUGAUGUCAAGUCAGCAUGACCUUUAUAUCCAGGGCUACACACACGCUACAAUGGUCUGUACAAUGGGUAGCCAAGCCGCGAGGCGGAGCCAAUCCUGAAAGCAGGCCUCAGUUCAGAUUGCAGUCUGCAACUCGACUGCAUGAAGCCGGAGUUGCUAGUAACCGCAGGUCAGCAAUACUGCGGUGAAUACGUUCCCGGGUCUU